CGGGAGGACCGGGGGUAUCCUGGUGUUGUGCGUCCAGCGCAACCUGUGGGCAGCGGGUCGAGGGAGGUUCCCUGCCUCUCUGCUCAGCCCUGGCUGAGCCCUCCUUCACCUUCAGGAAGUGAGGAGAUGGCUGCUCGCUGCCAAGAAAGUGCAGCCAGGUUUCUGGCACACACUGAGCAGGCAAAGGGCUGGUGUCUGAGGUUGGCAAGGGUGAGGCUUCUUCAAGUGCAACGCGGCGCCUCUAGUCAGUCAUCACUUGAAAAAGUCACAGAAGGGCAGAGGGGGGCAGCAGAUGAAAUGUUUGCAAGGAAAGCAGAAUAAUAUGCAAAACCAAGAUGAAACAUGUUUCAGGUCUACAUUACAAUUCAAACAGGAAUAUAAGUCAGCUGAAGACAUCAGAACAAAACGCUUUGACAUGUGACACACUUUAACAAAGAUCUGCUUAACAGAAAAAUCCAAUUAAAACCUGAAUUGUCCUUCGGCUGUGCCUGGCACGCUGCCACUUCAGCAGUCCGGUGCUGCAGGAAUAAAGCGGAAGAAGAGUAAAGGACGUGCUGCUAGUGCGGUGAC